GUCGACAUUUCUUUCGACAGUAAUCUGAAGAGUAUACUUAUGACUAUGUCAGGGCAUUACCGAUCAUUUAUGACAGAUACACAAAUACAAAAUGGUUUGAUUUCAAGCUUUUGUAUAGAUAUGAUAACAACUAAUGAUCACACUUAUUUAGUGUUUUUGUUUCAAGACGAAGCUAGAAUGGUUUAUUGAAAUGUAUAAUCAAUAUCAACAAUCUACGAAUAUUUUAAUACGAUAAUAUAAGUUAAAUUAUAUAAUAUUUAUUUAGAUUUAGAUUUAUGCUAUGUAAAUCAUUAUUAUUUCGCUGUAAUGGAUGUAAACA